UCCUCGGUAGUAUAGUGGUCAGUACCCCCCGCCUGUCACGCGGGAGACCGGGGUUCGAUUCCCCGCCGGGGUG